UACGGAGGGUGCAAGCGUUAUCCGGAUUCACUGGGUUUAAAGGGUGCGUAGGCGGGCAGGUAAGUCAGUGGUGAAAUCCCCGAGCUUAACUUGGGAACUGCCGUUGAUACUAUCUGUCUUGAAUACUGUGGAGGUAAGCGGAAUAUGUCAUGUAGCGGUGAAAUGCUUAGAUAUGACAUAGAACACCUAUUGCGAAGGCAGCUUGCUACACAGUCAUUGACGCUGAGGCACGAAAGCGUGGGGAUCAAACAGG
rnacentral:rRNA from 1 species